UAGACAGAUUUUUGUAUUCGACUGUAUUCACGGCGUGAAACAAGGGAUUACAACUGUUUUUAAACGGAAAGUGAAUCAAUUAACAUUAUAGACUCCU
rfam:Nicotiana sylvestris Nsyl_contig215495, whole genome shotgun sequence.